UAAUGGUCGAAGUAUUGAUUGUACACCUUAGUUACAUUAAGGAAGUCUCACUAAACGUAGGAGCG
rnacentral:tRNA from 1 species